CUUUAUGGCGGGCCAUGCGGGCAACCCUCGGGUUGGCCGGUUUUCUCUUUUUCCCCGGUAUUCCUACCCCGCAUAGCCCGCCGCCCUU
rnacentral:antisense_RNA from 1 species